rnacentral:misc_RNA from 1 species
GUGAAGAACGCAGCGAAAUGCGAUAAGUAAUGUGAAUUGCAGAAUUCAGUGAAUCAUCGAAUCUUUGAACGCACAUUGCGCCCGCCAGUAUUCUGGCGAGCAUGCCUGUUCGAGCGUCAUUUCAACCAUCAAGCCCCAGGCUUGUGUUGGAGCCCUGCGGCUGCCGCAGCCUCCCAAAACCAGUGGCGGGCUCGCUAUCACACCGAGUGCAGUAGUUUACUCUUCGCUCAGGGCGUGUGGCGGGUGCUAGCCGUGAAACCCCCAACUUCUCAAGGUUGACCUCGGAUCAGGUAGGAAUACCCGCUGAACUUAAGCAUAUCAAUAAGCGGAGGA